rnacentral:RNase_P_RNA from 1 species
AAGGCGGGUCGGACGGUCGCUCCUGAUUUUCAGGAGAGGAAAGUCCGGGCACCGAAGGGCAGGACACUCGCUAACGGCGAGGCUCCGGUUGGGUAACCAACUGGGGACGGAAAGUGCCACAGAAACGACACCGCCCUGCACCUUUUGUGUAGGGUAAGGGUGAAAUAGUGCGGUAAGAGCGCACUAUCCGGUGUGGUGACACAUCGGAUGGGUAAACCCUGUCCGGUGCAAGACCAAAUUGGGAAUCGGACUGGCCCGGUCCAGAUGAUUCCCGGGUAGGUCGCUUGAGACCGCGGGUAACCGCCGGUCCCAGAGAAAUGACCGUCACCCGUAAGGGAGACAGAACCCGGCUUACAGACCCGCCUUCAAA